rnacentral:rRNA from 1 species
GACGAACGCUGGCGGCGUGCUUAACACAUGCAAGUCGAACGGAAAGGCCCUGCUUUUGUGGGGUGCUCGAGUGGCGAACGGGUGAGUAACACGUGAGUAACCUGCCCUUGACUUUGGGAUAACUUCAGGAAACUGGGGCUAAUACCGGAUAGGAGCUCCUGCUGCAUGGUGGGGGUUGGAAAGUUUCGGCGGUUGGGGCUGGACUCGCGGCUUAUCAGCUUGUUGGUGGGGUAGUGGCUUACCAAGGCUUUGACGGGUAGCCGGCCUGAGAGGGUGACCGGCCAAAUUGGGACUGAGAUACGGCCCAGACUCCUACGGGAGGCAGCAGUGGGGAAUAUUGCACAAUGGGCGGAAGCCUGAUGCAGCAACGCCGCGUGCGGGAUGACGGCCUUCGGGUUGUAAACCGCUUUCGCCUGUGACGAAGCGUGAGUGACGGUAAUGGGUAAAGAAGCACCGGCUAACUACGUG